rnacentral:rRNA from 1 species
UCUNCCACAAUGGGCGAAAGCCUGAUGCAGCNACGCCGCGUGAGUGAAGAAGUAUUUCGGUAUGUAAAGCUCUAUCAGCAGGGAAGAAAAUGACGGUACCUGAAUAAGAAGCCCCGGCUAACUACGUGCCAGCAGCCGCGGUAAUACGUAGGGGGCAAGCGUUAUCCGGAUUUACUGGGUGUAAAGGGAGCGUAGACGGUUAUGCAAGUCUGGAGUGAAAGCCCGGGGCUCAACCCCGGGACUGCUUUGGAAACUGUAAAACUGGAGUGCAGGAGAGGCAGGCGGAAUUCCUAGUGUAGCGGUGAAAUGCGUAGAUAUUAGGAGGAACACCAGUGGCGAAGGCGGCCUGCUGGACUGUAACUGACGUUGAGGCUCGAAAGCGUGGGGAGCAAACAGG